rnacentral:rRNA from 1 species
GGUACCUGAAGAAAAAGCAUCGGCUAACUCCGUGCCAGCAGCCGCGGUAAUACGGAGGAUGCAAGCGUUAUCCGGAAUCAUUGGGCGUAAAGGGUCCGCAGGUGGCGAAUAAAGUCUGCUGUUAAAGACCGGGGCUUAACUCCGGAAAGGCAGUGGAAACUGAUUAGCUAGAGUACGGUAGGGGUAGAGGGAAUUCCCAGUGUAGCGGUGAAAUGCGUAGAUAUUGGGAAGAACACCGGUGGCGAAAGCGCUCUACUAGGCCGAAACUGACACUGAGGGACGAAAGCUAGGGUAGCGAAAGGGAUUAGAUACCCCUGUAGUCUUAGCGGUAAACGAUGGAUACUAGGUGUAGCUUGUAUCAACCCGAGCUGUGCCGAAGCUAACGCGAUAAGUAUCCCGCCUGGGGAGUACGCACGCAAGUGUGAAACUCAAAGGAAUUGACGGGGGCCCGCACAGGCGGUGGAGUAUGUGGUUUAAUUCGAUGCAACGCGAAGAACCUUACCAGGGCUUGACAUGUCGCGAAUCUAGCGGAAACGUUAGAGUGCCUUAGGGAAUGCGAACACAGGUGGUGCAUGGCUGUCGUCAGCUCGUGUCGUGAGAUGUUGGGUUAAGUCCCGCAACGAGCGCAACCCUCGUCCUUAGUUGCCAAUAUUAAGUUAGGCACUCUAGGGAGACUGCCGGGGACAACUCGGAGGAAGGUGGGGAUGACGUCAAGUCAGCAUGCCCCUUACGUCCUGGGCUACACACGUACUACAAUGGUUGGGACAAAGGGCAGCAAGCUCGCGAGAGUAAGCGAAUCUCAUCAAACCCAGCCACAGUUCAGAUUGCAGGCUGCAACUCGCCUGCAUGAAGUAGGAAUCGCUAGUAAUCGCAGGUCAGCAUACUGCGGUGAAUUCGUUCCCGGGCCUUGUACACACCGCCCGUCACACCAUGGAAGCUGGCUACGCCCGAAGUCGUUACCCUAACCCGGUUUUGGGAGGGGGAUGCCGAAGGUAGAGCUAGUGACUGGGGUGAAGUCGUAACAAGGUAGCCGUACCGGAAGGUGUGGCUGGAUCACCUCCUUU